GUGAAUGGAUGAGUUAAUACUGAUGGACUCUUUACUCAGCAGCCUCUACCAUCAGUGUGUGAAUGGAUGAGUUAAUACUGAUGGACUCUUUACACAGCGGCCUCUACCAUCAGUGUGUGAAUGUCUUAAGUCCAUUUACCAUUAGAGGUGACAUUGACAAGAUGCUUAAAGUUGAACUUCUUCAAAAAUCAACUGAUGCCGAGGUUGUUUUAGCGCUCAGGACUGUGAAUGCUGAAACGUUAAACAACAUGGGUGUCGCAUCUAACACAUGGGGGCUGCCAGCGCAAAUAAACACAGAGCGCAAUAACAGUUUUUAGCAACAAGGCGACUCAAAGUGCUUCACACAAGAUAAAAAAGCAGCAUGACAAAGGGAAAAAUACAUUAAGAUAGGAGAUUUAAACAAACCAUUAACAAUCACAGAGAAGAUUUGAUGUGAAAAUAUGCACAGAAAGAAAUACAAAUAAGAUCCCCAAGAAACAAAGAAAUGAGACAUUAAAGGCUUUAUAUGUGAUUUUUUGAUCCAGCAGAUGUCGCCCUUGAGCACCAGCAUGAAACCAAAACAACUGGUGCUGCAUUGUUGUGUUAGCAUGCUAAUACUAGCGAUCUUUAUUAUGCUCGUAUCUUCACACUGCAUGUAAAUUGACCUGAAAUAAGCGUGAUCUAGAAACACAGUUAAUCAGUGAGUACAGUAUGUUAUUCUUCUUUUCUCUAGUCCCUCAAUUAAACAACUUUUAUACACGAGGGGAGGAGUCAGCCGGCCGUCCGGGCGAUGUAAACAAAGUGAAGAUAGGACUCUGAAAACUCUGAAAACGUCACAGACAGUGGGACUCGGGUGUUACACCCAUUGUAGACAGUCAUGACUCACAGAGUUAUUUUCAGAGGAUAUACUUGAUUUCUACAUUUAAGAGUGAAAAAUCACAUAUUAAGACUUUAACCAAAAAUGUGAGUGAGUCCUCUGGAGAGACAUCUGGCCUGAUGGGAUCAUUUUCCACUUUCACACACAAACUAAUCUGGCUAAUGACGCUCUCUGGCUGCACACACUUUAAACAUCACCUGGCAUCACAGCAGCUUCUCAGACAGGUGAGGCAGAAGACACUGCCUCGAAGACCAGAAGAGAAACUAAAGAAACCUGUGACCAUUCUUUUGUGUUUAACUGGUUUAUGGUAAUUCAUUCUGUUUAACAAUCGAUCCCGAGGACUGAGGCUCACAGUUUGCUCCGUCUGUGACGAGUCGCAGCUUUCAAGCUGGGCUCAGAUAUUUGUUGUGUAAGCUCAUACACAAAGUACUUACAGUAGUGUUGUAGUACUCAAAAUCAGUCUUGGUCUCGAGACUUUUUAGAGGUCUCAGUCUCAGGAUUAAAAGCAUUUUUGCUCGGUCUUGUCUCGGUCUCAGAUUGGACGGACUCCCUGCUCACAAAAAUAUUUUUUUAAGUGAUAUUUAUGGUCUUAGUCUUGACCCGGUCUGGAUCCCUAAGUGUCUUGGUUUUGUCUCGGUCUCGCUGUGGCUUGCUCUUGAUUCCUAAAUAUCUUGAUCUUGUCUUGAUCUUGGAGCACUCUGGUCAUGGGUAUGUCUCGGUCUCUGUAAGUGUGGUAAGGUGAGUUAUAUCAAUACAUCCCGUCCAUACCCACGUGACCUUCAACCCCCCUUACUCAAUAUAAUCACACAUAUACUGUAACCCACUUGUUACCACCUGGCUCAGAGCUGGUAACAAAGAUGGAGGCCCCGCCCCUUUAGUGAAGGUCUGUCAUUCUCCUUGUGGGGAGUGGUUAGGUGGCACCCUCUACUGACCAGUCGCCAUUGUCUGGUACUGAGAUUUGUGUUAGAACAACAUAGCUCGCCUUCAUAUGUCACAAACAGAAAACUGAUGCUAUUUGUCUUAAUUCAGUUCCACUGUUCAUCUACUUUGGCGUCACACGGCGUCCCACAGGGCACAACAUCACCGACUUCAGUACGAGAGGAAACAUCCUCAUUUUUAUACCUGUUACCCCCGUCCCUCCCGACCAGCCGAAACAGCUCCGACAGACACACAAUGCAGGAAUGUUAUUCACCCCUGCUAGACCUUUCAGGACCUUUCAAAACAAAAGCGUGGGUCAGCAGUAAUUGUGCCCAUGUGCCCAGCGGUCUCCUGCGUCCUGUUUACAUCUCUGCCAACGCCGUCCUCCACCUGCUGUCACGGAUUCUUGUUUUCCCAUCUUUGCCUGGGAUCUGUUUCGAAGGACCCCGUAAGGAUCUUUCUUUUUUUUAACACAAAGUUUGGAUUUCUCCAGUUUUGGAAGAUCGACUUAUCCGGGGAAGUAUUUUUCUGGACUCGUUUGUUGAGACUGAAGAUGUCUUUAAAAAGGCGGCUGCUCUCCAUGUUGUUGUGCUGUGUUUACUGCGUGGCCUCGCUCUUCUGCCUCCACCCGAACCGCCUCAACUGCUUCUCUGCAGGAUCGCGGAAUCUGGGCUCAGUCUUCCAGCAGCUUUACCAGCGUGUCAUUCGAAUGCUUCGCUCCGCUCUCUGAUCCGAGGAGCUUCUUGUGUUUCAACUCAUCACAACUCUGGAGCUGCCCGGCUGCCAGUGAGGCCUCCGCGGUGUUCAUCAAGCAUGUCCUCCAGUAGACCAUCACCAAAUGAAAA